UGUUGUAGAAAAUGACAGUGUUUCCACGGUAACUACGGAGCCUCUGAACGUCCAAAUGGGUCAUAUCUGAUGACCAUGAAAAGAUGAAAAACUGCAUUUUACAUCAAUUAUUUACAAAGAUUGGUAGGAUUAGCGGAUCAGUAGAUAUUAAACACUUUAGAUCAGUAGAUGGUUUUGGUCACCGGUGACUGUUUGGGUCUUUAUGGGUUAA